rnacentral:rRNA from 1 species
AUUGAACGCUGGCGGCAGGCCUAACACAUGCAAGUCGAGCGGAUGAAGGGAGCUUGCUCCUGGAUUCAGCGGCGGACGGGUGAGUAAUGCCUAGGAAUCUGCCUGGUAGUGGGGGAUAACGUCCGGAAACGGGCGCUAAUACCGCAUACGUCCUGAGGGAGAAAGUGGGGGAUCUUCGGACCUCACGCUAUCAGAUGAGCCUAGGUCGGAUUAGCUAGUUGGUGGGGUAAAGGCCUACCAAGGCGACGAUCCGUAACUGGUCUGAGAGGAUGAUCAGUCAACCGGAAACUGAGACAGGGCCAAGCUCCCUACGGGAGGAACAAGUGGGGAAUAUUGGCAAAUGGGCGAAAGCCUGAUCCAGCAAGGCCGGGGGGGUGAAGAAGGCCUUCGGAUUGUAAAGCCCUUUAAGUUGGGAGGAAGGGAAGUAAGUUAAUACCUUGCUGUUUGACGUUACCAACAGAAUAAGCACCGGCUAACUUCGUG